UACGUAGGGGGCAAGCGUUAUCCGGAUUUACUGGGUGUAAAGGGAGCGUAGACGGUGAUGCAAGUCAGAAGUGAAAGCCCGGGGCUCAACUCCGGGACUGCUUUUGAAACUGUGUAACUGGAGUGCAGGAGAGGUAAGCGGAAUUCCUGGUGUAGCGGUGAAAUGCGUAGAUAUCAGGAGGAACACCAGUGGCGAAGGCGGCUUACUGGACUGUAACUGACGUCGAGGCUCGAAAGCGUGGGGAGCAAACAGG
rnacentral:rRNA from 1 species